rnacentral:rRNA from 1 species
UACAGGGGGGGCAAGCGUUGUUCGGAAUUACUGGGCGUAAAGGGUGUGUAGGUGGCGCGCUAAGUCGGGUGAUGAAUUCGGAGCUUAACUCCGAAACUGCAUUCGAUACUGGCGUGCUUGAGGACUGGAGAGGAGACUGGAAUUUACGGUGUAGCAGUGAAAUGCGUAGAUAUCGUAAGGAAGACCAGUGGCGAAGGCGGGUCUCUGGACAGUUCCUGACACUGAGAGCACGAAGGCCAGGGGAGCAAACGGG